rnacentral:misc_RNA from 1 species
GAUGAAGAACGUAGCGAAAUGCGAUACGUAGUGUGAAUUGCAGAAUUCAGUGAAUCAUCGAAUCUUUGAACGCACAUUGCGCCCUUUGGUAUUCCAAAGGGCAUGCCUGUUCGAGUGUCAUUUGUACCUUCAAGCUUUGCUUGGUGUUGGGCGUUUUUUGUCUCCCUCUUUCUGGGAGACUCGCCUUAAAACGAUUGGCAGCCGGCCUACUGGUUUCGGAGCGCAGCACAUAUUUUGCGCUUUGUAUCAGGAGAAAAGGACGGUAAUCCAUCAAGACUCUACAUUUUUAACUUUUGACCUCGGAUCAGGUAGGGAUACCCGCUGAACUUAAGCAUAUCAAUAAGCGGAGGA